GUCACACCCGUUCCCAUGCCGAACACGGCCGUUAAGCUCUUCUGCGUCAAUGGUAGUUGGGGGCUUCCCCCUGCGAGAGUAGAACGUUGCCGGGC
rnacentral:rRNA from 1 species